ACACCGGCAGCUCAAGUGGUAGCCGCUUUUAUUGGGCCUAAAGCGUCCGUAGCCGGUCUGAUAAGUCUCUGGUGAAAUCCCGCAGCUUAACUGUGGGAAUUGCUGGAGAUACUAUCAUGACUCGAGGUCGGGAGAGGCUGGAGGUACUCCCAGGGUAGGGGUGAAAUCCUGUAAUCCUGGGAGGACCACCUGUGGCGAAGGCGGCUAACUGGAACGAACCUGACGGUGAGGGACAAAAGCUAGGGGCGCGAACCGGAUUAGAUACCCGGGUAGUCCUAGCCGUAAACGAUGCGGACUUGGUGUUGGGAUGGCUUUGAGCCGCUCCGGUGCCGAAGGGAAGCUGUUAAGUCCGCCGCCUGGGAAGUACGGUCGCAAGACUGAAACUUAAAUGAAUUGGCGGGG
rnacentral:rRNA from 1 species